rnacentral:rRNA from 1 species
UACGGAGGGUGCAAGCAUUGAUCGGAAUUACUGGGCGUAAAGGGCGCGUAGGCGGCUCGGCAAGUCAGAUGUGAAAUUCCACGGCUCAACUGUGGAGCUGCAUUUGAAACUACCAAGCUAGAGCAUAGAUAGGGAAAACGGAAUUCCACGUGUAGCGGUAAAAUGCGUAGAUAUGUGGAAGAACACCGGUGGUGAAGACGGUUUUCUGGACUAUUGCUGACGCUGAGGCGCGAAAGCUAGGGGAGCAAACAGG